rnacentral:rRNA from 1 species
GACGAAGGUGGCGAGCGUUGUUCGGAAUCACUGGGCAUAAAGCGCACGUAGGCGGCGACGUAAGUUGGGUGUGAAAUCCCUCGGCCCAACCCGAGGAACUGCGCCCAGUACUGCGUUGCUUGAGGAUCCAAGGGGUGCAUGGAAUUCCCGGUGGAGCGGUGAAAUGCGUUGAUAUCGGGAGGAACUCCGGCGGCGAAAGCGGUGCACUGGUGGAUUUCUGACGCUGAGGUGCGAAAGCCAGGGGAGCAAACGGG